rnacentral:rRNA from 1 species
GCAAGUCGAACGAUGAAGCCCUUCGGGGUGGAUUAGUGGCGAACGGGUGAGUAACACGUGGGCAAUCUGCCCUGCACUCUGGGACAAGCCCUGGAAACGGGGUCUAAUACCGGAUAUCACUUUUCCUCGCAUGGGGGAGGGUUGAAAGCUCCGGCGGUGCAGGAUGAGCCCGCGGCCUAUCAGCUUGUUGGUGGGGUGAUGGCCUACCAAGGCGACGACGGGUAGCCGGCCUGAGAGGGCGACCGGCCACACUGGGACUGAGACACGGCCCAGACUCCUACGGGAGGCAGCAGUGGGGAAUAUUGCACAAUGGGCGGAAGCCUGAUGCAGCGACGCCGCGUGAGGGAUGACGGCCUUCGGGUUGUAAACCUCUUUCAGCAGGGAAGAAGCGUGAGUGACGGUACCUGCAGAAGAAGCGCCGGCUAACUACGUGCCAGCAGCCGCGGUAAUACGUAGGGCGCAAGCGUUGUCCGGAAUUAU